AGGAUGAACGCUAGCGGCAGGCCUAAUACAUGCAAGUCGAACGGGUGUAGCAAUACACUAGUGGCGCACGGGUGCGUAACGCGUAACCAAUCUGCCCUGAACUGGGGGAUAGCCCGCCGAAAGGCGGAUUAAUACCGCAUAAACCAACAGAACGGCAUCGUUUAAUUGGUAAAGAUUUAUUGGUUCAGGAUGAGGUUGCGUGCCAUUAGCUAGUUGGCGGGUAACGCCACAAGGCGACGAUGGCUAGGGGACCUGAG
rnacentral:rRNA from 1 species